CAAUGGGGGCAACCCUGACCGAGCAACGCCGCGUGAGUGAAGAAGGUUUUCGGAUCGUAAAGCUCUGUUGUAAGUCAAGAACGGGUGUGAGAGUGGAAAGUUCACACUGUGACGGUAGCUUACCAGAAAGGGACGGCUAACUACGUGCCAGCAGCCGCGGUAAUACGUAGGUCCCGAGCGUUGUCCGGAUUUAUUGGGCGUAAAGCGAGCGCAGGCGGUUUGAUAAGUCUGAAGUUAAAGGCUGUGGCUCAACCAUAGUUCGCUUUGGAAACUGUCAAACUUGAGUGCAAAAGGGGAGAGUGGAAUUCCAUGUGUAGCGGUGAAAUGCGUAAAUAUAUGGAGGAACACCGGUGGCGAAAGCGGCUCUCUGGUCUGUAACUGACGCUGAGGCUCGAAAGCGUGGGGAGCGAACAGGAUUAGAUACCCUGGUAGUCCACGCCGUAAACGAUGAGUGCUAGGUGUUGGAUCCUUUCCGGGAUUCAGUGCCGCAGCUAACGCAUUAAGCACUCCGCCUGGGGAGUACGACCGCAAGGUUGAAACUCAAAGGAAUUGACGGGGGCCCGCACAAGCGGUGGAGCAUGUGGUUUAAUUCGAAGCAACGCGAAGAACCUUACCAGGUCUUGACAUCCCGAUGCUAUUUCUAGAGAUAGAAAGUUACUUCGGUACAUCGGUGACAGGUGGUGCAU
rnacentral:rRNA from 1 species